ACAGUUUACCGCCUGAUGACUACCAUGGCUGUAACUUAUACAGGAGGAUUCCUGCAAAAAUAGUAAGCUGCUCAAAAGAGUUUACACCAAGUGGUACCUCUCCAGUUCCGUACGAACUUGACCAUCUCCAGAAUGCUGCCGAAAAUAUCUUCGGCCCAAUAUCCUGCCUUAGCGGCACAGGACAGUACUUCUCAUAUUUGGUGCAUGCUCAGCUAUACAUGUAUUUGCUUCCAUUGGAUUGCAGGAUCGUCUCCAGAGGCUCCAUUCCAAUUCCUGGCUCAGACUCCUGCAGUGGCCCAACGUUCAAGGAAAAAGCAGAAAAAUUCAUCAACUUUGCUGAGACGACUGUCAGUUGGGGGUCCUUUCAAGAUGGAGUUCUCGACAACUGCAUGGCGUGUGAACGUCAAAAGCAACUCUGUGCAUUCAGCUCACGAAGGAAUCAAACAUUCUGCACAAGCCACGGCAAUCAUCAUGGUACUAACUAUCCUAACUGCACAAACAUGAUCGUACCACCCAGCUUUGUUCCUGAACUAGUUUUCUACUCUUACUAUGAUUCAAGCAUUCAGCCAUACAGUACUAGUGCACCGCUCUCAAUACAUAUGCUCAAAACUAUUUUUGCAGGCUAGUAGCCUACUACUAGAAAUCAUUUAGGGAACUAACUAGCUUCAUCAAACAUUUUUGCACAAUUGCCAUAAAAGUGUCACAAUAUUUAGUAAAAUAAUGAUAGAAUUAUCUUGAUCAACUAGCAGCAGUUGGACGAUACAUGACAUUAAAGAUCAUAAAACCUGGGACUUCUCAAAGAUAUUUGCUAGAAUUGAUAUUGUCUAUGAACUUAUUGAGACUGCCUCUAUAAGACUUCCUUAUGGUUUCCUCUAGAAGUAGAAAGUAGCUCGAAUAUGUAAACAAGACUGCAAGGGAACACUUGACUGGGACAAGAUAUAAUCUAAGUUUUUUUUUAUUUUUUUGCCAGGUCGGCGAAAGGAAGCCGACCAAAAUUCAUUAAGAUAAAGGAAUAAUUACAGAGGUAUACACGAUAUAAUCUAAGUUUUGGUUUGUUACCUGAUAUAACAGGAGCUGCAGUUAGAUCUUUGGUUGCUUUGAUAAUAGAUUAGUAGACAUGGGAGGUGAUAUGUGGAAGCCUUUAUAAUUUAGCCCAUAACCCACCUCAACUCAUCCUAAUCAUCCUUAUCUGGCAUGACAAAAAUACGAGAGUUAGCACACAGAACUGUCUUAUGAUGAUACUGCAAAAUAAGAUGUAAGGAAAAUUUCACUAUUGCAAAUAUAUUCAUAUGAUCAUGGUGCAUAAAAAUUUAGAGCCAAAACUCUAUCCUACCCCACCAGGGCCAUGUUCGCUGAUACAUUUUGUUGGAUUGCUCUGUUUUUAUUUUCAAGAUGUAAUUAUCCAUUAUCUGUUAAAACCACCAACCAGAACUUAUUAUCUUCGUUCAUACUUGCAGGUUAGCGUGUGAAAGUCAUUUCAGGUACUGCAGUACUCAAACCUACCUUUCUAUUAAAAAGAGAAAAGAAACAAUGUUAUCAGUACAUAUAAAUUCUUAUUGCUAGCAGUUCUGAGUCUUCUGACUCAGCAUUCUUCUGCUAAAAAAGACACCACCUGCUCUUACAGUACCCAUCAGGCAAUCACAAUCAGUUGAUUACUAGCCACAACUUUCGAUCCUAAUGCAAUGUGCUAAUUUCCCCUUCUCUGUUAAUUCAGCUACAUCAUCGGUAGCCGCAUUUGUUGUUUUUUCGUUCAUCAUGGCCACAGCACUCUAUCUUUCACUGAAGUCAAGGUAUGAUGAAGAGGUACAUUUGAAGGUUGAAAUGUUCCUCAGGACAUAUGGCACAUCGAAGCCCACAAGGUACAGUUUCUCUGAUGUUAAGAAGAUAACGAGACGCUUCAAGGAACAAUUAGGUCAGGGUGGAUUUGGAAGUGUAUACAAAGGACGACUACCAAACGGAGUGCCUGUGGCAGUUAAAAUGAUAGAACACUCUACAGGAAAUGGAGAAGAGUUCAUCAAUGAAGUAGCAACAAUUGGACAAAUUCAUCAUAUAAACAUUGCCCGCCUUCUGGGAUUCUGCUCUGAAGGAACACGGCACAUUCUUAUCUAUGAAUUCAUGCCUAAUGAAUCAUUGGAGAAAUGCAUAUUCUUGCAUGACCCUAAUACUUCUCAAGAACUCCUAGCACCAAAAAAGAUGUUAGAUGUUGCCUUAGGCAUUGCCCGAGGAAUGGAGUAUCUUCAUCAAGGAUGCAACCAACGCAUCCUCCAUUUUGAUAUCAAGCCUAAUAAUAUAUUGCUUGACUAUAACUUCAAUCCGAAGAUUUCAGACUUUGGUCUUGCAAAGCUGUGUGCAAGGGACCAAAGCAUUGUUACCUUGACCAAAGCAAGAGGCACGAUGGGCUACAUUGCACCAGAGCUAUAUUCUAGGAACUUUGGGGAGAUAUCUUACAAGUCAGAUGUAUAUAGUUUUGGCAUGCUUGUGUUAGAAAUGGUGAGUGGAAGGAGAAACUCAGACCCGAGUAUUGAGAACCAAAAUGAGGUCUACUUUCCAGAGUGGAUCUAUGAGAAAGUAAUUACUGAGCAGGACUUUGUACUUAGUAGGGAAAUGACAGAAGAAGUAGACUGAAGGUUAGACAGAUGGCCCUCGUGGCACUGUGGUGCAUUCAGUGGAACCCAAGAAACCGUCCCACAAUGACGAAGGUUGUAAACAUGCUAACUGGAAGGUUGCAGAAUAUAGAGGUGCCCCCUAAGCCAUUUGUUUCAUAUGAAAGCCAUGUUGUGCCAUAAAUCAUAGUAAUGUUAUGGGAGUUAUACUUAGUUGACGUGCUGCAUAGUAAUGCUGAUUAACUGUAUGAAGUAUGAAUCGUCGCUCUUUAUUACCAUGUAUUAAAAGUAAUAAGAAACACAUCAGUUGAUGUGAUUACCUUGUUCAGUUGUUGCGAUGUAUAUCUCCAUCCAACCACGGUGUGCAGAGUACUCCUCGCUGUACUAUUUCAGUAAGAUGCCGUCCUCGUCCGUUUCAUGGGUCCAUAUCUAGUGGCUUGCAAGAAAAUCCUGCAAGGAAAUUGAAUUAUGGCAAUUUUUCCCAUGCAGCACAAAUAUAAAAUAUCGAAGCAAAGAGUAUUAUUUUUGUCUGUUUGUCCGUGCGAACGGCCGACUAGGGUAACAUUCAUACCCUGAAUUCGUCACUGAAUAAAGAAGUAGAUUCAUAUCCUAAAUUCCUCACUGAACUAAGAAGUAUAAUAAGUUAAGUUGGCUUGGUCACAUUCCUAUCCAUCCCAUUCAAAAAGUCAGGGCCCGCCUAUCUAUCUGAUGGAAAUCUCACAGCAAACAGGAUGCUGCUGGGCAAGCAAUCGAGGAGCUACGAAUUUGCAAUGUGAAGAGAUGAAUGGGCAUGGACUCGACUAGUGAAUAAGUACACUUUAAUAAAAACUUAGGAAAAAUAAUCAAAAGCAGAGGAAACGGGCUACCUUUAUCAAUGCAAGGAGGGGGCAGCGAACCGAACAACCACCGGAUCAGGAGACCUCCCCGAGUUCUGUCAAUCCUGCGGCUCGGCGUGGCAUCCCGCUUGGGGCCUGGAUUUGCGGCUCGGGUCUCACAAGGACGCAGGGAGAAGGCGACGCAUAGCCCGGGCAACGCGCAUUGACGGCGGAGCGCAAAGCAGAGACAUCGCCGGGGAAGCAGAGGCGGCUGGGAGUCGGUGGGAUCGCCGGCGACGGCGAAGGGUUCGUGGCAAGAGAGGGAGGAAAGGGGAUUCCGUACGGUUUGCAACCAGAAACUAAGCUCGGCCUAGGGCUAGUAAUGGGGCCGGCCCUAAAGCUCCUGCCGCUA
rnacentral:lncRNA from 1 species